AGACAAUUAGGCAAAAAUUUCCACUUCUUACAACAAGAAGACUUGGGACCCGAGGUCAUUCAAAAUAUCAUUAUUACGGGAUUGGCAUCAAAGAGAGCAGUGCCUAUUAUAACUUGGUGUACUCAGGAAAAGGCUUGACGAGAUUUUCAGGGAGCAAACU